CCUACGGGAGGCAGCAGUGGGGAAUAUUGCACAAUGGGCGAAAGCCUGAUGCAGCGACGCCGCGUGAGGGAUGACGGCCUUCGGGUUGUAAACCUCUUUCAGCAGGGAAGAAGCGAAAGUGACGGUACCUGCAGAAGAAGCGCCGGCUAACUACGUGCCAGCAGCCGCGGUAAUACGUAGGGCGCAAGCGUUGUCCGGAAUUAUUGGGCGUAAAGAGCUCGUAGGCGGCUUGUCACGUCGGGUGUGAAAGCCCGGGGCUUAACCCCGGGUCUGCAUUCGAUACGGGCUAGCUAGAGUGUGGUAGGGGAGAUCGGAAUUCCUGGUGUAGCGGUGAAAUGCGCAGAUAUCAGGAGGAACACCGGUGGCGAAGGCGGAUCUCUGGGCCAUUACUGACGCUGAGGAGCGAAAGCGUGGGGAGCGAACAGGAUUAGAUACCCUGGUAGUCCACGCCGUAAACGGUGGGAACUAGGUGUUGGCGACAUUCCACGUCGUCGGUGCCGCAGCUAACGCAUUAAGUUCCCCGCCUGGGGAGUACGGCCGCAAGGCUAAAAACUCAAAAGGAAUUGACGGCNGAGAGNGCGAGACGACACAGGAGAG
rnacentral:rRNA from 1 species